CUGGUGGAUGUAGGCACAACUCUCCCCAUCUUCCUAUCUCUUGCGUUCUUCAUCUCCCUCACUCUUUCAUCUCUCUUUCCACUUUGUAGAUGUAGAGCCAGCACGGACGAUUGCGGCAGGCAAGAGUGUGGAGGCGGCCGAUCCUUCUACGGUGACGACUGGUCCAGAUUCAAUCACGAUAGAUCCAGAUCCAGCCAUGGCUGGUCCAAAUCCGACAACGGGAGCCUCAAGCUUGAUGCGAUAGCGUGGACGCGACAACAGCGAGCUCGCUUGGUCUAUUUUUCUAUUUUUAGUUCAUUUAAUUGAGGGUGGUAGCAUAAGAUGCCUGACUUGUUAAUCUAUUAAUCGAGGUGGACAAAACAACAGCCUCCAUUGGUC
rnacentral:lncRNA from 1 species